GUUCAUUGACUAAUUAUUGUCAUAUUAGUUUGGAAUGCGUGAAACUCAGUUUCUGUAAGAAUGUCACCCAGGAUGUGGUUAAAAAACUUUGCAAAAACUGUAGAAGAUUGAAGAUUCUCCAUCUUUAUGGCUGUAGCCUCACUUCUGACCUGGUCAAAGUAAAAGAAACUUACAAAAGAGUUGA